AUGAUGCUCUUAAAACUGAAAUUACACUUAAUCCCAGAAGCCUUCAUAAAGAGCUGGGGGGCCGUUACGCGGCGCCGCGCUCCCUCAGCCCCAGUGCGGGCGGCGCACCUCGGCGCCGAGCUCCCCUCCCCGCGGGCUCGCUGCUCGCCGGCAGCGUGGCGGACCGUCACCAGCCGGGCGGUAAGGCGCCCCGCUCCGCUGAGGCUGGCCCGCCGCAGGGACGGUUUAGCGCCCCUGCCGGCGAGCGGGCUGCUUCUCUGCCCUGAGGUGCCGGCGCGCACCUCGGAGCCCCGCGCUGAGGACGGAGCCUGGGGGCGCCCCUGGGGAAGGAGCCCCAGAAGCGGAGCGACCGCACUCUCGCCUCCUGUGUGCCCCCGAGAGGGGCCGAGCCGCCCGCUCGCUAGUGGCGAACACCAACAAUUUCACGGAGGGACGCUGCCCACGGGCACGGCGAGCAGCACCGCACGCCUGCCCCAGCGCGGGGCCGCACCUGACCUGCUAAUCCCUCCCCCGUCCCCCAGCGCGCUGCCUCCCGCAGGAGGGCAGCCGCGGGGAGCCGCAGAGGCGCCGUGGCGGCCCGGCUGCUCGGCGGGGUCGCUGGUAGCCGAGCGAGAGGGGCUGUCCGCUCGGCUGCGCAGGCGGAGGACACGGGGUGCGCCCCGCGGCCCCGCUAGGCUUUACCUCCCUUGGCGAUGCCGCGGCGGCUGCCGACGCUGCCUCCCCUCCCGCCCCUGGAGGACGCCACCGGGCUUUCCUAAGGUGAGUGACCACCUCCGGCGGGGCAGGGCUCCGUGCAGCGCUGCCCGCACCCCCGGCAAUACCGCUAGCGCGGCACUGACCCACAUUUCCCCAGGUGACCCGUCCGCUCCGUGUUCCGCCACCCCCAGCCCCACAGGGAAUGGAGAAGAAGGGGUGCCGCUCCGAGCGGGGAAGUUUGCGUGCGGGACAGCAGAGCCGGCACCCGAGUUGGGAGUGGCGGAGCGCCUGUUUCUGCGCUACAUCUGUUAUAUAGGGGACGUGCGUGGGAGGAGGGAGGCACCUGGAGAGCCGGCCCCAGGUGGAGGGAGAGCAUCUGGUUGGAGCAGAGGCUGGGCGAGGCGGAGGGGGGAAGCAAAAGGGGAUGGGGGAGCUGUGGAGGAAGGUGGUGACUCCUGA
rnacentral:lncRNA from 1 species